GAUCGUAAAACAAAACGAUCAAGGCAUAGAAAUGAAUCGUAAUAUAUACGAUGAGAUCACCCCGUGAACUGUUAAAGUUAUGACAACCAGAAAGAAUCAAUCUGAUGAUUGAAAAGUUUAAAGCAAGAUUGCUGUGUGAAUGGUACAGAUUCAGAAAAGGAUUAUGAAUACGGAUUAAAUGAAAUUCGUAUUGUGAAUGGGGGUUAAGUUUAGGUGGGGAUUUCAAUGAG
rnacentral:lncRNA from 1 species